GCGGCUGGAUCCCCUCCUUUCUAAGGAAAAAUCCAUUGAUUGAGACAAGUCAGUCUCAUUCCGGAUUUUCUUGGAUAAAACUGCCCGAUAUUUCGGGUUGAUCGGGCCUCGCCGUCCCCGUUUCUCUUCUUAAUCUUUGCAUAUUCGAGCGUGCUGUGGCAUUAGAAAGACGCCGGGCCUGUAGCUCAGGUGGUUAGAGCGCACGCCUGAUAAGCGUGAGGUCGGUAGUUCAACUCUACCCAGGCCCACCAUUAAGCUGGUGGUUAAAUAUUGGGGCCGUAGCUCAGUUGGGAGAGCGGUAGCUUUGCAAGCUUCAGGUCGUCGGUUCGAUCCCGUCCGGCUCCACCAUCUUCGGUCGUGACCCGCUGCACUUUGAUACGCAUUGACGAGAAAAAGUUGUCCGCCGUAAUCCGGCGGUCAUAUCGAUCUUCAUACAUCGUAAAGAGGGGAUAUGCCUGGGCUUUCUUCGGGAAGCAGCCGCAAGGCAGGUGAUGCAAGCCGCUUCACUCUGGGUCUAUCUCGCAUGAUCUGGUCUUUUUGUCAUGUCCUGCCAUAUGGCAGGUAUUGAUAAUGAGAGUAAUCAAGCGACUUAAGGGCAUUUAGUGGCUGCCUUGGUGGCAAGAGGCGAUGAAGGACGUGGUACGCUGCGAUAAGCUGUGGGGAGGUGCGAACAACCUUUGAUCCGCAGAUUU
rnacentral:misc_RNA from 1 species